rnacentral:lncRNA from 1 species
GGGGAGGACAGAAGGAGGGGGAGAAGCAGACUCCCCGCUGAGCAGGGAUCCUGACAUGGGGCUUGACCCCAGGAUCCUGAGAUCAUGAUCUGAGCAAAAGGCAGCUGCUUAGCCGCUUAGCCGACCAAGCCAUCCAGGUGCCCCUGCCCCCGGCAUCUUGAGAGCAGAGGCACCUGCCCUCCACCCCAGACAGAGGCUUACCUUCCCUCCCCCUCAGAAGCCCCAGGACCAAAUUGCACACCCUGCCUCUGCUACCCCAAUGGGGCUGGGGCUGGGAGAUUUUUCUGGAGCCCACUGUGAAAGCUCCUCCCUCCUAGGAAGCCUAGUGUAGCCUCCCCAUCCUUAUCCUCAGGUCCCGGGAGGAAUAAACACCAGCUUUGCUCCCGUCCUGCCAGGGUCCCCGACGUGGGAGCUGCAGCCUUGGCCUAUCUUCAUGCCCAGUGCUCUUCUCACAUGCCAUUGAGCAUGGGCUGCUCAAUCUGUCCUGGGCACGCAGGGGAGGGGGAGUCCCAACCAAAAAAUAUCAGAGCACUUGUUUCAGAACCAAAGUUCCAGGGAAAAUCCAUGGAUGUCAGAGCUAGAAAACAGGCUAUCAUUUUAAACUGCUUUUAUAAAAGAUUUACUUAUUUAUUUGAGAGAGAGAGAGCAUGGGGUAAGAGCAGAGGCACAAGCAGGAUAGAAAGAGGAAAGCUAGAGUGGCCUAUUCUCCUCCUCUGCCUUCUCCGUCUCCCACCAGGACAGGAGCCCCUAAGAGAAAGGCAGGGCCCUGAGUCCGUGGAGACAGUACCCCUCCCCUGAUGACUCUGGAUUCAGUAAGCAGGGCAGGAACACCUAUUUUAUGACACUUCUGAGGGUCUCACAAAAUCAUCACUCCUCUACCCAGAAAUCUUCCCCAGUGGCCCAUGGAGCUCCCCAAAUGCAGUUGGCACCCGCAUCCUGGCUUCAGAGAGCCCCUGGCUGGACUCAGAUCUGGCUCCCUCCCAACCCUGCAGGUCUCAAGCCACGGAGGGGGGGGGGGGGGAGGGGGCUCCUGCCCCACACCUGCUGGCACAGCCCUUUGCCCCAUCACCUCCCUGGCCCCUCUCGCAUCCCACGGCACGCGUCACAGCCAUUUCCUGUGAUGCUCACAGCAACCCUAUAGAGUGAGUGCAAUUAUUAACCUCGCUUUACAGAUGAGGAAACUGAGCUCAGGGCUGUUGAGACUGGAUGACCAGUCAGGUGCAUCAGGUCAGAACAUCUCAAUGCAAGAGCUCAAGCUCCCCAUAGCCACCGCAUUUCUGUAGAGCCAGCAGGUAGUGAGGCGAGGAGAUGUGACACCAUGAAAUGAUAGGGCAGGGGCUUUGGGCCACAAGGCUUCCUCUCCAUUGUUACAAACAGCUGCCCACCCAGUGUGUGCAGGGCGAGUCCUGCUUUGGCGGUGGGCCUGCACCCACUGGCCCCGGAGUCCUGCCUCUUCCUAAAAAUUCCAGAAACUGGGCUCUGAGGUUAUUGAGGGCUGAAACCAUGGCCCCUGGUGGGGUAUAGAGUGGGAACAAACCAGAGGGUGCUCAGCUAAUACCAGGCAUCCUAUAGAUACCCAAAAGUCAUCCCGGAAGAAGGAGUUUUGACCAGGAAGAGAAGUUUCAGCCCAUGGAGAGAGGAUCUUUCCAGACUGGGAGUUGGCCAAGUAAGGGGUAAGCAGCCCAUCACUGGAGGCAUGCAAGUAGUUGCUGAGCAGCUUCCUGUCCAUGCUGCUGGACCUGGGGGAAGAGUCAGUCACUUCCAAGUUUCUUCCUGUCAUUCAAUAUCCACAAAUGUUUACGUCUUUCAUGAAUUUUUAAGUAUAGGCAAUACUUCUAUAUAGUUCAAAAAUCAAAAAGCACAAAACUAAGCCCAGUGAAAAUGGUUUGUUCCCACUCUAUACCCCAGCCCCCCAGCUCUCCUUCCAGAAGCCCCUGGCCAUGCCAGGUACUUGCAUGGUCCUCCAGAGUUUGUGCAUGCACCAGCGUGCUCGAUCAUUAUUUGAAAAAUAAAUACGCCUUCAUGUCAUUGUUGUUCAUGCUCUGCCUCUGGCUUCUUUCCCCAACAGUGGAUUUGCAGCAGCAGCCUGAUGAUACAGGACAGGCCCCUCCAGGCGUUCACAUCUAUAAAUCGGGGUAA